GGGUCAGUAGGUUGGUCGUGCCACCGGUACGUACUGGUCUCACUGAUUCCUCCUUCCUGAAGAACCGUAAUGCCAUUAAUUUGGCGUUGCGGGGAAACAGGACUGUUACUUUGAAAAAAUUAGAGUGUUUAAAGCAAGCUAACGCUUGAAUACAUUAGCAUGGAAUAAUGAAAUAGGACGAUCGAUCCUAUUUUGUUGGUUUCCAGGAUUGACGUA
rnacentral:rRNA from 1 species